AGUGAACGCUGGCGGCAUGCCUAAUACAUGCAAGUCGAACGACAGCACAGUAAGAUCUUUCCUCUACUGGUGGCGAGGGGCGGACGGGUGAGGCAUAGAUCGCAUUCUACUAUUUCUUGGGUGAUUUCGUAGGGAAACUUACGCUAAUAGCGCAUACUAUCUACGGGUGAAAGCAGGGGAACUUCGGACUUUGCGUGACUCAAUGAGCUGAUGCCGCAUUAGCUAGUUGGCGGGGUAAAGGCCCACCGAGGCAACGAUCCGUAGCUGGUCUGAGAGGAUGAUCGGCCACACUGGAACUGAGACACGGUCCAGACUCCUACGGGAGGCAGCAGUGGGGAAUAUUGGACAAUGGGCGCAAGCCUGAUCCAGCCAUGCCGCGUGGGUGAAGAAGGCCUUCGGGUUGUAAAGCCCUUUUGUUGGGAAAGAAAAGCAGCAGAUUAAUACCCCGCUGUUCUGACGGUACCCAAAGAAAAAGCACCGGCUAACUUCGUG
rnacentral:rRNA from 1 species